rnacentral:tRNA from 1 species
UCCCUGGUAGCUCAAACGGUAAAAGCGUCUGCCUACAAUGCAGGAGACCCAGGUUAGAUUUCUGGGCAGGAAG